rnacentral:rRNA from 1 species
UGUCUCAGUACAAGCCGCAUUAAGGCGAAACCGCGAAUGGCUCAUUAAAUCAGUUAUGGUUCCUUAGAUCUUACACUUUUUACAUGGAUAACUGUGGUAAUUCUAGAGCUAAUACAUGAAACUUGUACCCCGACUUUACGGAAGGGGUGCUUUUAUUAGAACAAAACCAAUCGGUCGGCUCGUCCGUCCGUUGCCUUGGUGACUCUGAAUAACUUUGUGCUGAUCGCACGGUCCUAGCACCGGCGACGCAUCUUUCAAAUGUCUGCCUUAUCAACUGUCGAUGGUAGGUUCUGCGCCUACCAUGGUUGUAACGGGUGACGGGGAAUCAGGGUUCGAUUCCGGAGAGGGAGCCUGAGAAACGGCUACCACAUCCAAGGAAGGCAGCAGGCGCGCAAAUUACCCACUCCCGGCACGGGGAGGUAGUGACGAAAAAUAACGAUACGGGACUCAUCCGAGGCCCCGUAAUCGGAAUGAGAACACUUUAAAUCCUUUAACGAGGAUCUAUUGGAGGGCAAGUCUGGUGCCAGCAGCCGCGGUAAUUCCAGCUCCAAUAGCGUAUAUUAAAGUUGUUGCGGUUAAAAAGCUCGUAGUCGGAGGUGUGUCUCGGACGGUUGGUUCGCCGCUUGCCGGUGCUCAACUGGCCGGUCCGGACGUCCUGCCGGUGGGGCUGUAAAAGGCUCCGUUAUCCUUCUUUGGUCCUCUUCAUUGAGUGCCUUGGUGGGCCGGCACGUUUACUUUGAACAAAUUAGAGUGCUCAAAGCAGGCCGUUGGUCGCCUGAAUACUGUGUGCAUGGAAUAAUAGAAUAGGACCUCGGUUCCAUUUUGUUGGUUUUCAGAACUCGAGGUAAUGAUUAAUAGGGACGGACGGGGGCAUUCGUAUUGCGACGUUAGAGGUGAAAUUCUUGGAUCGUCGCAAGACGAACCGAUGCGAAAGCAUUUGCCAAGAACGUUUUCGUUGAUCAAGAACGAAAGUUAGAGGUU